AAGGUUCGUAAUGCAGGAGAUCCUUUCAAUUUAGUUUUCUCUAUUUACAAUGCUAAGAAGAUUCGAUUCGAUCCUUUCAAUUUAGUUUUCUCUAUGAAGAUUCGAACCUCGGACAUUAUAUAAUGCCUCAUCACAUUGGACUAAUUACUGGAGUUAAUAGUUAAUUUUAUCAAACCAGAGUGUUAAUGCUGACGCUCACCUUGGAUCUGCUGACGCUAACCUUGGAUAAGGCCCCAAGGAUAAAGCCCGAAGCAAAACCAGUAUGUGGUUCACAUGGGCCUGAGAAUUGAAAGCCCCAAUCGUGUAUGUGUAUAUUGUUAUUACAGCCCGUAUCUGUUCUACUUGGCCUGCAUUCAACAAACUAGUAUAAAUAGCGGUAGACGUUAUUGUAAUUGAUAUGUUUAAGACACAAACUUUAAUUUGAUUGCAUUUAACCUUGUUUGGAAUAAAUAAAUUUCAUAGACUCA